rnacentral:rRNA from 1 species
UUUUUUGAGAAUUUGAUCUUGGUUCAGAUUGAAUGCUGACGGCGUGGAUGAGGCAUGCAAGUCGAACGAAGUGUAGCAAUACACUUAGUGGCGGAAGGGUUAGUAAUACAUGGGUAACUUGCCUUUAACUUGGGAAUAACGAUUGGAAACGAUCGCUAAUACCGAAUGUGGUGAUANAUAAGGCAUCUUAAAAUCAUUAAAGUGGGGGAUCGCAAGACCUCGCGGUUAAAGAGAGGCCCAUGGGAUAUCAGCUAGUUGGUAGGGUAAAGGCCUACCAAGGCUAAGACGUCUAGGCGGAUUGAGAGAUUGACCGCCAACACUGGGACUGAGAACUGCCCNAGACUCCUACGGGAGGCUGCAGUCGAGAAUCUUUCGCAAUGGGCGAAAGCCUGACGAAGCGACGCCGUGUGAGCGAUGAAGGCCUUAGGGUCGUAAAGCUCUUUCGCUNNUGGGAACAAGGGGAUCUGGCUAACAUCCAGAGAACUUGAGGGUACCAGGUAAAGAAGCACCGGCUAACUCCGUGCCAGCAGCUGCGGUAAUACGGAGGGUGCAAGCAUUAAUCGGAUUUAUUGGGCGUAAAGGGCGCGUAGGCUGGAGAGAAAGUCAGAUGUGAAAUCCCGGGGCUCAACCCCGGAACAGCAUUUGAAACUUCUUUUCUAGAGGGUAGGCGGAGAAAAUGGAAUUCCACAAGUAGCGGUGAAAUGCGUAGAUAUGUGGAAGAACACCAGUGGCGAAGGCGAUUUUCUAGCUUAUACCUGACGCUGAGGCGCGAAAGCAAGGGGAUCAAACAGGAUUAGAUACCCUGGUAGUCCUUGCCUUAAACGAUGUAUACUUGGUGUAACUGGAAUCAACCCUAGUUGUGCCGAAGCUAACGCGAUAAGUAUACCGCCUGAGGAGUACGCUCGCAAGGGUGAAACUCAAAAGAAUUGACGGGGACCCGCACAAGCAGUGGAGCAUGUGGUUUAAUUCGAUGCAACGCGAAGAACCUUACCCAGGCUUGACAUGCAGAUGACGAUAGCAGAAAUGUUAUUUCCCUUCGGGGCGUCUGCACAGGUGCUGCAUGGCUGUCGUCAGCUCGUGCCGUGAGGUGUUUGGUUAAGUCCAGCAACGAGCGCAACCCUUAUCAUUAGUUGCCAACAUUUCGGAUGGGAACUCUAAUGAGACUGCCUGGGUUAACCAGGAGGAAGGUGAGGAUGACGUCAAGUCCGCAUGGCCCUUAUGUCUGGGGCUACACACGUGCUACAAUGGUCGGUACAGAAGGAAGCGAACCCGCAAGGCGGAGCAAAUCCNCCAAAGCCGAUCUCAGUUCAGAUUGUAGUCUGCAACUCGACUACAUGAAGACGGAAUUGCUAGUAAUGGUGGGUCAGCNNAACACCACCGUGAAUACGUUCCCGGGUCUUGUACACACCGCCCGUCACAUCAUGGGAGUUGGUUUUACCCGAAGCCGCUGGCUCAACCGCAAGGAGAGAGGCGUCUAAGGUGAGGCCGAUGACUGGGAUGAAGUCGUAACAAGGUAGCCCUACCGGAAGGUGGGGCUGGAUCACCUCCUUUU